UACGGAGGGGGCUAGCGUUGUUCGGAAUUACUGGGCGUAAAGCGCACGUAGGCGGACUGUUAAGUCAGGGGUGAAAUCCUGGAGCUCAACUCCAGAACUGCCUUUGAUACUGAAGAUCUUGAGUCCGGGAGAGGUGAGUGGAACUGCGAGUGUAGAGGUGAAAUUCGUAGAUAUUCGCAAGAGCACCAGUGGCGAAGGCGGCUCACUGGCCCGGUACUGACGCUGAGGCACGAAAGCGUGGGGAGCAAACAGG
rnacentral:rRNA from 1 species